UUCAGUUGUAUCUAAACUUUGCUAGCGUAAAGAUGUUGUUUGUCCGAUUGGUACUUAUGUUAUACAUCCUGGCCUUUGUGGCUGUAACUCAUAACCAGAUCUUAGUGACUGCAACCACUAAAGUUCCCACCCAAAUUUGCAAGCGACGAGGCGGAUAUUGUCAAAAGAAAAUGGAUUGCUGCUCGGGAAAUUGCAUACACGUGGCCGGAGAAUGCCAGUGAAAAUAUUUUCCAGACUGAGAAUUGCCAUAAUCUGCGGUGUCACACUAUUUGUUUCUGGUUAUUACAGCUGUCUUCAUGGAAAUAGCACUGAAGAUGACCAUCACUUUCUACAUGGAUUUAUGAUUAUUUUUUUUAAUAUAACUUAGUAAAUUUUUGUUUCAAUGUGUUCAAUAUAUUUCCAGUAUGACUACCAUUUAGUGAAAAACGACAUAUAAUGAAAUAUCAGUGUCAAGCUAAUAAAACCAAUAAAGGUUUUAUAAACUAACUACAACUAAACAAA